UGAUGCUCCGGAGAAGCAACUUGCAUCCCAGCCACGAGUGCCCUUGAAUAAUCCUUCCUUCCUGCCGUCUGGAAGUCUGAGCUUACCAAGUUGCAGUAGCAUCGGUUCUCAACAACCACCACGCUUGAAGGAGAAUAAGGGACUGCAUGGUAAGGUAAACUCCUAGAGUCAAAGUAACUGUUAGCAGUUGGAAGUAUUAUAAUUAACGGUGAUAAUGUGCAGCUUUUUCCAACAAUAAACUACCUCUGGUGUUGUUGUACUUUAGCUUUUGUAAUCCAGUACUGAAUACAAUUUGAACUGUUGUAAGACAGUCUUUCACCGAUGGUAGUUUGGUCAGAAGAUGUGGGGGCGAGAACUGUGAGAAAAGUUUUCACAAAUGUGAAGAGGUGUUGUACUUUCUUCCCUUUUCACAGCAAUGAAUAGAAAAUGUUCUUUUUGUUCUUACCCUCUUUAAGGCAUCAAGGAUCCAAAAGAUUUCUUUUCCCUAUGUGUAGUGACCAGAUAAUUCAUCAUUUCACUGAAAGCAUUUUGAAGUAUCGGGUAUUCUUGUUGUAAUUUAUAUAAAAGUCUUUGUAUUUUUUGGUAUUUUUACACACAAUUGUACAGCCAAGGAAUAAGCUUGUUAUUUAUUAUUUUGAGGUUAAUGAGAACACGUUAUACAAUUGUUUAACAAGUUAUGACUUAUGAGACCUGGUUUAGGAAUCCUAGUUUCUUCUUUUGUUUAACGUUCAUGAGGUGAAACUAGAAAGCUUUUGAAA
rnacentral:misc_RNA from 1 species